rnacentral:rRNA from 1 species
CACCUACGGGAGGCAGCAGUAGGGAAUCUUCCACAAUGGGCGAAAGCCUGAUGGAGCAACGCCGCGUGGGCGAGGAAGUACCUCGGUAUGUAAAGCCCUAUCAGCAGGGAAGAAACAGGACAGUACCUGACUAAGAAGCUCCGGCUAAAUACGUGCCAGCAGCCGCGGUAAUACGUAUGGAGCAAGCGUUAUCCGGAUUUACUGGGUGUAAAGGGAGCGCAGACGGCAGGGCAAGUCUGAUGUGAAAGUCCGGGGCUCAACCCCGGGACUGCAUUGGAAACUGUCCGGCUAGAGUGCAGGAGAGG